UGGGGGAUAUUGCACAAUGGGCGAAAGCCUGAUGCAGCGACGCCGCGUGGGGGAUGAAGGCUUUCGGGUUGUAAACCUCUUUCGCUAUCGAACAAGGCCCGCUUAGGGUGGGUUGAGGGUAGGUGGAGAAGAAGCGCCGGCUAACUACGUGCCAGCAGCCGCGGUAAUACGUAGGGCGCGAGCGUUGUCCGGAAUUAUUGGGCGUAAAGGGCUUGUAGGCGGCGUGUUGCGCCUGCUGUGAAAACGCGGGGCUUAACUUCGCGCGUGCAGUGGGUACGGGCAGGCUUGAGUGUGGUAGGGGUGACUGGAAUUCCAGGUGUAGCGGUGGAAUGCGCAGAUAUCUGGAGGAGCACCGAUGGCGAAGGCAGGUCACUGGGCCAUUACUGACGCUGAGGAGCGAAAGCAUGGGUAGCGAACAGG
rnacentral:rRNA from 1 species